rnacentral:rRNA from 1 species
UAGCAUAUCAAUAAGCGGAGGAAAAGAAACCAACAGGGAUUGCCUCAGUAACGGCGAGUGAAGCGGCAACAGCUCAAAUUUGAAAUCUGGCCCUAGGCCCGAGUUGUAAUUUGCAGAGGAUGCUUUUGGUGCGGUGCCUUCCAAGUUCCCUAGAACGGGACGCCAGAGAGGGUGAGAGCCCCGUACAGUUGGACACCAAGCCUUUGUAAAGCUCCUUCGACGAGUCGAGUAGUUUGGGAAUGCUGCUCAAAAUGGGAGGUAUAUUUCUUCUAAAGCUAAAUACCGGCCAGAGACCGAUAGCGCACAAGUAGAGUGAUCGAAAGAUGAAAAGCACUUUGAAAAGAGGGUUAAACAGCACGUGAAAUUGUUAAAAGGGAAGCGCUUGUGACCAGACUUGCGUCCGGUGAAUCACCCAGCUCUCGCGGCUGGGGCACUUCGCCGGCUCAGGCCAGCAUCAGCUCGCUGUCGGGGACAAAAGCUUCAGGAACGUAGCUCUCUUCGGGGAGUGUUAUAGCCUGUUGCAUAAUACCCUUCGGCGGGCUGAGGUACGCGCUCCGCAAGGAUGCUGGCAUAAUGGUCAUCAGCGACCCGUCUUGAAACACGGACCAAGGAGUCAACCUUAUGUGCGAGUGUUCGGGUGUCAAACCCCUACGCGUAAUGAAAGUGAACGCAGGUGAGAGCUUCGGCGCAUCAUCGACCGAUCCUGAUGUUCUCGGAUGGAUUUGAGUAAGAGCAUAUAGGGUUGGACCCGAAAGAAGGUGAACUAUGCGUGUAUAGGGUGAAGCCAGAGGAAACUCUGGUGGAGGCUCGCAGCGGUUCUGACGUGCAAAUCGAUCGUCAAAUAUGCGCAUGGGGGCGAAAGACUAAUCGAACCUUCUAGUAGCUGGUUUC